rnacentral:rRNA from 1 species
AUUUCGAAUCUCAGCUUGGUAGGGAUACCCGCUGAAC